GCUCGCUAUUUCUAUGCUGUAGCUCGAAGAGCUGAUGGAGAGAAGCCUCACACCUCUGCAACAGCGGUGGGUGGAUUAAGCCACUACUGGAACUAACCAUGCAAAUCUUCUAACUUCCACCAGAGGACAGCACCUUCACACAGAUGGCCCAGUUCUGGUCCGCAUGGAGAGCAAAGCAAGAACCAUCCACACCUUCAUACUAAAGACAGAAAAUGGCUCUCAUCUGUAACCCAGGAAGGGGCUUUCACCAGGAACCAAAUUAGCCAGCACCUUGAUCUAAGGUUUGCAGCCUUCAGAACUGUAAGAAAUACAUGUCUGUUGUUCAAGCCACUUGGUCUUGCUGGUAUAGCAGCCCUCACUGACUAAGACCCCCCAGUCAUAUAGCUGCAUCCACAAAACGGAAAAAUGUGCACUACUGGACUUUACCUUGUUGCCUGUUUUCAGACCACACCCCUAACGUGUAUUAUGAUUCCAUACUUUUAUAAAUCUUAUUAUUGUCUCGUAAACAGUAC